AGGCAUUGGAAAAGAAUGAAGGUGCAGGGCAGGGGAAAGGAAAGUCAUAUUGACCAGGAAGGGAAGGAAAUUUUCACGAUACCAGUGAUCAGUGCCAAAGCCCCAUUGCCUGUGGAGAAGGUGAUGUUUGACUUCCUGUACAGCUGCAGUUCGUGUGGUGAAGGUGCUCCCACAAUGUGGUUGGGGAUCUGCACUGGAACCCUUCUGUUUGCGGGACAAAUAUAUGUAAGUGACAUGGAUUAAAAUCUAAUUUGG